rnacentral:rRNA from 1 species
GAUGAACGCUGGCGGCGUGCCUAACACAUGCAAGUCGAACGAAGCUUGACGGAUGAUUUCUUCGGAAUGAAACCAGAUAUGACUUAGUGGCGGACGGGUGAGUAACACGUGAGCAACCUGCCUUUCAGAGGGGGAUAACGGCUGGAAACGGUCGCUAAUACCGCAUGAUGUGUUCGGAUGGCAUCAUCUGAACAUCAAAGAUUUAUCGCUGAAAGAUGGGCUCGCGUCUGAUUAGAUAGUUGGUGGGGUAACGGCCUACCAAGUCUACGAUCAGUAGCCGGACUGAGAGGUUGAACGGCCACAUUGGGACUGAGAUACGGCCCAGACUCCUACGGGAGGCAGCAGUGGGGAAUAUUGCACAAUGGGGGAAACCCUGAUGCAGCAACGCCGCGUGAAGGAUGACGGUUUUCGGAUUGUAAACUUCUUUUCUUGGUGACGAAGACAGUGACGGUAGCUAAGGAAUAAGCAUCGGCUAACUACGUG